rnacentral:rRNA from 1 species
CGAGCGAGAGAAGGGGAGCAAUCCUCUGAGUAAAGCGGCGCACGGGUGAGUAACACGUGGGUAAUCUGCCCUGGAGUGGGGAAUAACACCGGGAAACCGGUGCUAAUACCGCAUACGAUAGCGAGGUCUGCGGACUUUGUUAUGAAAGGAGCAAUUCGCUCUAGGAGGAGCCCGCGGCUGAUUAGCUAGUUGGUGAGGUAAUGGCUCACCAAGGCUUCGAUCAGUAUCCGGUCUGAGAGGACGGUCGGACACACUGGAACUGAGACACGGUCCAGACUCCUACGGGAGGCAGCAGUGGGGAAUUUUUGGCAAUGGGGGCAACCCUGACCAAGCAACGCCGCGUGGGUGAUGAAGUCUCUUGGGACGUAAAACCCUUUCGACGGGGAAGAAAACCGCAAGGUUUGACGGUACCCGUAGAAGAAGCCCCGGCUAACUCCGUGCCAGCAGCCGCGGUAAUACGGGGGGGGCAAGCGUUGUUCGGAAUUACUGGGCGUAAAGGGUGCGUAGGCGGUGCUCUAAGUUAGAUGUGAAAACUCUGGGCUCAACCCAGAGCCUGCAUCUAAAACUGGAGUGCUAGAGUUCUGGAGGGGGUAGCGGAAUUCCUGGUGUAGCGGUGAAAUGCGUAGAUAUCAGGAGGAACACCGGUGGCGAAGGCGGCUACCUGGACAGAGUCUGACGCUGAGGCACGAAAGCUAGGGGAGCAAACAGGAUUAGAUACCCUGGUAGUCCUAGCCCUAAACGAUGGAUACUUGGUGUGACUGGGAUUGAAUCCAGUCGUGCCGAAGCUAACGCAUUAAGU